GUCAGUGUGGCCGAGCGGUUAUGGCGUGGAAUUCAAAUGCUCGGUCGCUCUGCGUUCGCAGGUUCGAAUCCUGUCGUCACCUUGACG